GACAGAGGGGCCGAGCGUUAGGCGGAAUCACUGGGCUUAAAGCGUGUGUAGGCGGGCGGGCAAGUACCUUGUGAAAUCCCACGGCUCAACCGUGGAACAGCUGGGUAUACUGCCUGUCUUGAGCCAACUAGGGGCGAGCGGAACAGACGGUGGAGCGGUGAAAUGCGUAGAUAUCGUCUGGAACGCCAAAGGUGAAAACAGCUCGCUGGGGUUGUGCUGACGCUGAGACGCGAAAGCGUGGGGAGCAAACAGG
rnacentral:rRNA from 1 species